rnacentral:rRNA from 1 species
UACGUAGGGACCGAGCGUUGUCCGGAAUCACUGGGCGUAAAGGGCGCGUAGGCGGCUUGAUAAGCGUGCGGUGAAAGCCCGGGGCUCAACCCCGGGUCGGCCGUGCGAACUGUCGAGCUGGAGCACUGUAGAGGCAGGUGGAAUUCCGGGUGUAGCGGUGGAAUGCGUAGAGAUCCGGAAGAACACCGGUGGCGAAGGCGGCCUGCUGGGCAGUGGCUGACGCUGAGGCGCGACAGCGUGGGGAGCAAACAGG